AGGAUGUGGUGGAGGUGGUACUGUGUGACUGGCUAAUAAAAGGUAAUAUGGCCUCUGUCUCUCUCUCGUUCUGUACUAUAAGAGUUCUGAACCAUCCUGUGACAAGUCUAGUUACCCUAAAGCUGUCAUGCAGGAGAGACCAUGUGGAGAGAAGGAGAGUUAGAGAGAGGAGGAGCCCCUGCUGUUUGAGUAUUCUCAGCCCAGACACCAGACAUGAGUGAGGAAGCAUUCAGACCCCAACUCCAGUUUAAAAACGCCACCACUCAACAGCCUGUUUUCUGAGCCUAUGACCACAUAUAUGCUGCAGAACCCUUUCAGGGUGUAUCUGAAACUACUUCUCUUAAAGGCAAGCUGUAACUGGUGCCAGUGAGUACUACUAUCUUUUAUUUAAAUUAAAAACAAAUUUAACAUCACUUAGUCUUUAUAAGAAUGAGAAAGUCCAGAUAAGUAUAAAGAAGAAAAUUUAAAAAUCUAAAUGGUCGGGGUGUUUGGGGGAGCAGAAGAGGAAGAUAGAAGAUUGUAUCUCUCUAUCUUCUUGUCUUGGCUUCUGAACCCGAGAUGUUUUUUAUUAUUGCAGGAAAAGACAGAAGCUGAUUGAGGUCCCAGCUUGGUAACAGUUUGAAGAGUUGCAGGACUGGCUGGAUGAGUACUGGCUGCAGCAAAUCAGGCUGCCAGGAUUCUUUAUGGCUGUUUCUGCUUCCACUACAGCUGAGUCAGAAAGGUCGCUGCCCCGUGGUGGCACUAGACGCAGUGGACCUGGCAAGCAAAUGUUUCCGCUAUUAGCUCUCAGCAACAGAGACUCAUUUAUGGUCACCUUGGAAAUCUGGGCUUAUCGAUCUACAGCCCAAGUCUGCUGAGAAGCUGGAGCUUACUAAAGGGGAAACCUGAGAGCUGUUCAAGCCCCAAAUAUUUUCCACUUCUGCGUCACCUCUGCUGUCUGUUAGCAGAGUGGAGGAGAAAAUACACAGCACAAACAACGUGAAAAAAUAGUUACUCUAUUCAUUAAAAGCUGUAACUUCCAGAUUGGACUUGAGAAGCAAUUAAGCAACAGAGGAACCUCAUCUACUAUCUGUAUUCAGGCAUGCUCAUGAGAACACGCUGCUCCAGCUGGACUUAGAGGAACCCGGUGCAUCACAGGCAUUCCUGACAGAGUCUCGUGGUCCUGCUGGUCCACUCAGUGGUACUCAGUCCUCCUCAUUCUCGGGGAUAGGUUCCAAGACCCCCAGGGGAUGCCUGAAACUGCGGAUGGUACCGAACCCUACAUAUAUUAUGUUUUUUUCCUAUACAUACAUACCUAUGAUAAAGCUUAAUUUACAAAUUAGAUAGAGUAAGAGAUUAACAACAAUUACAGCAAUAUACUGAAAUAAAAGUUAUGUGAAUGUG